AAUAAUGAUGGCCAAGGGGCAUUGAAAGAUAAAAGAAUAAGUUGCAGGAACCUCUGAUUCUGAUACCUCCUGUGGAAGGAACAACUUUUAAUCUGGUACUUGACAGCCCUCGAGGGGUCUAUGAGGUGCGUAUUGUGUCAGCAUGACGAGUCUGGUCGAAAAGAGCAUGCAAUUUACCUUAGCAAAAAGUUUAUCGACU
rnacentral:lncRNA from 1 species